CGCGUGGAUAACCUGCCUCAUACAGGGGGAUAACAGUUAGAAAUGACUGCUAAUACCGCAUAAGCGCACAAGAUCGCAUGAUCAUGUGUGAAAAACUCCGGUGGUAUGAGAUGGAUCCGCGUCUGGUUAGCCAGUUGGCGGGGUAACGGCCCACCAAAGCGACGAUCAGUAGCCGACCUGAGAGGGUGACCGGCCACAUUGGGACUGAGACACGGCCCAAACUCCUACGGAAGGCAGCAG
rnacentral:rRNA from 1 species